GCGAGCUUCUCGCAAAGCUCUCGUUACCAAAAUUUUCAGUCAGUCGAUCAUGAUCUUUGUUCAUAGAAAGUAAAUCGUGCUUUUGUCGUCAUAUCUAUUGUUCUUGCCGUUAGAUCUAUCAUUCUUGUCGGACUCUGUAGUAAGGCUCGUGUCAUAAUUUAUGCUUGUCAAUCUCACUCGUCCCGUGAUAAUAUUUCAUUUUAAUCGUUGUUGCGAGAGACUUUACGGCGAAGCAUUCCGAAUCGUGGUGAAUUUCGGGUACAUGCCCGCGUUCAAGCCCUGAAUCCUACUCGAUUUAAAGUAACAUGUGACGUUCUCUAUUGUCACAUAGUGAUUCAAGUAUUUUCGAACUCGACAAGAAUAUUUGCGAACGUUCUUAAAAGAGCGAAUUCUCGGUUACAAGUGCGCGUAUCUCAGAUUGACGAAGCGAUAUGUAAUCAUUCGUAAAGUUCAAUCAAUGUGUAAGAGCUUGCGAACAUUCUCUCAACACUUUGCGGACAUCCUCUCAUUACGUGAUCGCUUAAUUCGUACGAACCGCAUAAAUGAAUGCAAGCUGACUGGCUGACUGGUGGACUAUUCUACCUUCUCUUAGGUGUACGCAAACAUCGAACUCUAUAUUUUGUACAUCUCAAACCUUUGACUCAUUAAAGUGUGAUCUGUCUCUAAAUUUCGUGAUUCUAUCACCCAUCGGAUCCUCAAUAGAGGGUCAUUCCCGUGAACAAUCAAUUCCGCAUAGGAGUUGAUAUUGAUAUAUUUAAUAUUUGCAAACCGAUUCCGUUGCAACCAUUAAAAGUGACAUCUACUAUUAUUCUUAUUGGAUAUAUUCCUGAAAACGCAUCAAG